UUUGAAUACUAUAGCUACAAGCAAAUACU
rnacentral:piRNA from 1 species